AUUCCUGCUUUGUAUUUCUUGCAAGACUUAUUUUAUAAUGUUAUUUGUGAUCUGAGAAAAAAAAGUCUUCAAAAAUUGUUUAUGAUGAUGAAUAUGGGGAAACAAAGGAAUUUUAGACUCAUAAAUUCCAGCAUAAAAAUUGCUAAGCGCAACAUUUACACAAAAUCCUUCGGCCAACCCCCUGGCAAUUAAGUUGGGAUACGCUGUGCUCGGAGUGAAAAUAAGGACAGAAAUUAAAACCAAACACCCACAAAGAUUGAAAAAGUUUGGUUGGGGUGUGGGUUUUCCUGAGUACCUGAGAUUGCAUUUUAGCUGAUCAUUAGACGCAACUGUAAAGAAAGGCCCUGUUUUGCCUUGGGAGAGUUCAUCCAGAGAUUGCACAAGGGAUUUGCACAGAAUAAAGCUUCACAAAACCCAAGGGCUGUCAGAGGGAAAUGGUAUCCAGGAGGACAGGGCAGGCCAAGCAUCCCUUCAACAGCAAAGCCACACAAGAGAGCCAGAGGCAGCACAGAGCCUGCCAACGCAACUGCCUACCACGUCUGCCAAGGAGCCAGAAGCCGCUUGUGGGAAAAUAUCACUUACCCUUAGCAUCUGGGUCCUGUGAUUGUUAUCCAAAGAGACAGAGUGUGAAAUAGACUCCAACAACUUGUGAAAUUUAAUGAAUCUAUUCAACUAGUGUCAGCCACGUCCAUAAAUAAUUUAAUAAGAAACCAUCAUCCAUGAAGAGGAAUGCAAGUCGAACAAUCAGAGAGGAAUAGACCAGACCAAGGUCAACAUUCUGGGGGGGGGGGAGAAAAGUGAGGCUUUUAAAUUGUGAGUCUCAGAGUUUGAUUUAUCACAUUUUCCCACAGCCCUGUGUUCUGGGCCUUUUGGUAUGAAAAGCUGCAGGUUGCUGACGGUGUGAUUUUAAUUGUAACUCUUUCCAGGCAUAUGUGUUGAGAGGUCUAUAAUAAAAGCAUGGCAUAUUUAAAGUCACCAAAUUCCUAUAAAAUGGUUAUUCGAAUUGAGAGCUUGUAGUUGUACUGACUGAAACUGCCCAGAAGUCGAUUAAUAAAGUAGAAAGCUAUUGCUAUUAUAUUUUAAACACUGCCUCUAAUCAUUGGUAUUUCUACUAUUUUAUGUAAAUAAAUAGUUGAACGUCAUCUAUUAGACACUUUAAAAUAUGCCAGUUGGUGUGAUUCAAAUAUAUAUAAUCUAGAAAAUGAUAAUAUUCUUCCUCAAAAUAAGAUCUGAGUAGAAAAGGGAAAUACAAUUUUCUUGUCAUUUCUUAAUACUCUAAGCAGUAAUAUAACAAUAUUAAUCAUUAAACAAAAUGUUUAUUGAAAAAUUAUAGUUUAGAAAGAUCAGAAUCACACAUGAUAAAAUGAGGGGUCAACAUCAUGGAAAGGCUAGAAAAUUCUCUUCCUUUUCAGUUCUCAAAUCACUACCUUUUCCAUAAAACCUGACUCAUAUUUGGAAGUGGAAUCUAGUUGUUAAGUGGGUCAAAAACAUACAGUUUAAAAAUUUUUAAAUCAUUGCAGAAGUAUGCUCUGAGAUGAAUGAAACAUGUUGUGCAUAAAGAAUAAAAUUUGAGAUUAAAGAAAAAAGUUUUCUUGAAAUUAAGUGAAAAUCUUAAAGAGUUUUUUAUGAACUUUUAAAGGUUUAAUUCAUUAGCAAUAUUUUGUCCAAUAGACCUUGAAUAUGAACUCAAAGAACAUGAGCUCCCAUUGAAGCAGAAGUGGCUUAGGUUCCAUCUAAGAAGAAUAUAUGAAAUUAUUACAUUAUGGUAGCACUGUGAUGUGCUCAGAUAUGCCUUGCCAUGGGCAUCUGAUAUGAGAUUGUGUCCCAUUUUUGCACUCUUCGGUUGAGAGCAUUACCUACCCUUCAGGAGCCUUAGUUUCUUCAUCUAUAAAUAAAGAUGAUAACGUAUUUUUUGCAGGGCCAACAGCAUGAUGAGAGAGCAUCUGGUUCAUUGAGGGGCUCAAGAUAAGUAGUAAUAAGAGCAGUAAUAGAAUGUGUCACUUAAAAGUCCAAAUUAGUCUGCAGUGGCUUAAAUUCCACUUAUUAGCUGUACAACCUUGGGCAAAUGGCUUACAUUUUCUGAUCCUCAAUAACCUCAUCUAUAAAAUGCAGUUAGUAAUAGUACCUAUAUCUUAAGGUAAUAUGGACAUUAAAUAAAAUAUUGUGUUUUGAGUGCUUUGAACUUGGCCAUAAUGGUGUUCGAUAAACAAAUGUUAGCUGUUCUAUCUAAAUGUUAUCUGUACAUAUCUAUUAUGUAACUAAGUCUGUAUUAAUGGUCUCUUUCCUCAGAUAUUAAAAUGAUACUAAUAAUUUGGCUCCUCACAUGUUUUUGUGAUAAAUUAAAGUGAAAUGCUUUGUUUAUAGAUUCAUAAAGAGACACUCA
rnacentral:lncRNA from 1 species